rnacentral:rRNA from 2 species
UGGGGAAUAUUGGACAAUGGGCGCAAGCCUGAUCCAGCCAUGCCGCGUGAGUGAUGAAGGCCCUAGGGUUGUAAAGCUCUUUCACCGGUGAAGAUAAUGACGGUAACCGGAGAAGAAGCCCCGGCUAACUUCGUGCCAGCAGCCGCGGUAAUACGAAGGGGGCUAGCGUUGUUCGGAUUUACUGGGCGUAAAGCGCACGUAGGCGGACUAUUAAGUCAGGGGUGAAAUCCCGGGGCUCAACCCCGGAACUGCCUUUGAUACUGGUAGUCUUGAGUUCGAGAGAGGUGAGUGGAAUUCCGAGUGUAGAGGUGAAAUUCGUAGAUAUUCGGAGGAACACCAGUGGCGAAGGCGGCUCACUGGCUCGAUACUGACGCUGAGGUGCGAAAGCGUGUGGAGCAAACAGG